UGGGGAAUAUUGCACAAUGGGCGCAAGCCUGAUGCAGCCAUGCCGCGUGUAUGAAGAAGGCCUUCGGGUUGUAAAGUACUUUCAGCGGGGAGGAAGGGAGUAAAGUUAAUACCUUUGCUCAUUGACGUUACCCGCAGAAGAAGCACCGGCUAACUCCGUGCCAGCAGCCGCGGUAAUACGGAGGGUGCAAGCGUUAAUCGGAAUUACUGGGCGUAAAGCGCACGCAGGCGGUUUGUUAAGUCAGAUGUGAAAUCCCCGGGCUCAACCUGGGAACUGCAUCUGAUACUGGCAAGCUUGAGUCUCGUAGAGGGGGGUAGAAUUCCAGGUGUAGCGGUGAAAUGCGUAGGGAUCUGGAGGAAUACCAGUGGCGAAGGCGGCCCCCUGGACGAAGACUAACGCUCAGGUGCGAAAGCGUGGGGAGCAAACAGG
rnacentral:rRNA from 1 species